rnacentral:lncRNA from 1 species
GGCUGAGGGGAGAAGGUGAGGGGCCACGGUUCCCUCGCGCUGCCUUCCUCCAGUCUUUGGGGAAGUUUUGACUCCAGUUUAUCUUAAUCAUUUCCUGUUGUGUCUUCCUGAAGAGGAUCAACUGCCAAAGAUAGUUCAGACAGAGCACCGGCCGGCCAGGCCCCGCACUCCCCGGCGGUGAGGGCUGCUGCCCCCUCAGCGGAGGUGUCAGAGUUGACGCUUUUGUAAGACCAGGGAAAAGGAGUGACUCUUCCCUGCAAGUUGGGGGCUAGCAAAAAGCUGACCCUCUCAGCUGGCACUGCCCACCUGUUUGUCCUCUGUCGGCGCCCCCAGGGCUCACAGACA